rnacentral:rRNA from 1 species
GGCUUAUUGAUUUUAAUUUUAAGUCAGACCUGCCCAAUGAUUUAUUAAAUGGCCGCAGUAUUUUUGACUGUGCAAAGGUAGCAUAAUCACUAGUUUUUUAAUUGAAAGCUUGAAUGAAAGGUUAGAUGAAAAAGUUUCUGUCUCUGAAGAAAUUUUGUAGAAUUUUAUUUUUAAGUGAAAAGGCUUAAAUAUUUAUAGAAGACGAGAAGACCCUAUAGAGUUUUAUUUUUAAAUGAAGCCAAAAUUUUAGGGUUUAAAGAAUUUAGGUUUUAUAUAAUUAUUUGGUUGGGGUGAUUUGAAAAUUUAAUAAACUUUUUUAUUAUCAGUACAUUGAUUUAUGAAUUUAUGAUCCUAGAAUUUAGAUUUUAAGAAAAAAUUACCUUAGGGAUAACAGCGUAAUUUUUUCUAGAGUUCUUAUUGAAAAAAAGGAUUGCGACCUCGAUGUUGGAUUAAAAAAAAUUUCUGGUGAAGGUGCUAGAAAAUUAGGUCUGUUCGACCUUUUAAAUUUUACAUGAUCUGAGUUUAAACCGGUGUGAG